rnacentral:rRNA from 1 species
GACAGAGGGGGCAAGCGUUGCUCGGAAUUACUGGGCGUAAAGCGUGCGUAGACGGCUAUCUAAGUCGGGUGUGAAAGCCCCGGGCUCAACCUGGGAAUUGCAUUCGAGACUGAAUAGCUAGGGUACGGUAGAGGGAAGUGGAAUUUCCGGUGUAGCGGUGAAAUGCGUAGAUAUCGGAAGGAACAUCAGUGGCGAAAGCGACUUCCUGGACCAGUACCGACGUUCAGGCACGAAAGCGUGGGGAGCAAACAGG